rnacentral:rRNA from 1 species
GACGAACGCUGGCGGCGUGCUUAACACAUGCAAGUCGAACGGAAAGGCCCUGCUUUUGUGCGGUGCUCGAGUGGCGAACGCGUGAGUAACACGUGAGUAACCUGCCCUUGACUUUGGGGUAACUUCAGGAAACUGGGGCUACUACCGGACAGCAGCUCCUGCUGCAUGGUGGGGGUGGGAAAGUUGCGGCGGCUGGGGAUGGACUCGCGGCUGAUCAGCUUGUUGGUGGGGUAGUGGCAUACCAAGGCUUUGACGGGUAGCCGGCCUGCGAGGGUGACCGGGCACAUUGGGACUGGGGAACGGCCCAGAGUCAUACGGGGGGCAGCAGUGGGGAACCUUGCACAAUGGGCGGAAGCCUGAGGCAGCAGCGCCGGGGGCGGGAUGCCGGCCUUCGGGUAGUAAACCGCUUUCGCCUGUGACGCAGCGUGAGUGACGGUAAUGGGUAAAGAAGCACCGGCUAACUACGUG